AUACAUACAUACAUACAUAUGACUAUGAAUAUACAUAUGAAUAUGUAUAUAUAUGUGUGUGUGUGUGUAG